GGAGCUGUGGCUCAGUGGUAGAGUGCUUGCCUGGCAUGUGUGAGGCACUAGGUUUGAUCCUCAGCACCA
rnacentral:tRNA from 1 species